GGGGGUUGCCACGUUGGUGUGGUGUCUCCCGACUCGGAGCAGAGUCAUGAUUCGUAGUUACAACUUUUCUUUCGAAUUCCUAAUUUUAGCCCCAAAAAAAUUCUUCUGAACUAAAUAUAAUAUCUUAUCAUUUUUAAGAAAAAAUGUAAUUCCCGUACUAUAUAUAAUUUAAACUAAUCAAAAAAUUUAUCGAUCUUUUUAUCGAUUUUUUAUUAUUUUUUAAACCAAAAAAUAUAAUAUAAAGGUUGAACCAAUGGUCGGUGUUAUGAAACAUUUUUCUCCGUGUCUAGGACCCUAGGUCGAUCUCACAAACUAAAAAAAAAAUUGUUGUUGUUUUUUUUUUUGUUGAAUGAUUGUUGUUGUUUUUCAUCGGUAACAUUUCUAAUAACAAAAAUAUCUAUUUUAUUAAAACAGAAACUAGAUUUUGACCUGUG
rnacentral:lncRNA from 1 species